GUUUUGAAAUAUAUAAAAAAAUAAAAAUGUCUGCAGAAAGUAUUACUUUAUUUCAUAACGGAUUGGAAAAAGCGUUAGAGCGACUAGGUAAGCAAAAUAUUGAGCUAAAGGAAUGUCAGUACGAAGCAGUGAAGGCUGUACUAGUUGUUGAAUGAUCGGAAGGACAUAUUUUGCGUCUAGUUGCCUACUGGCCAUGGAAAGUCACUCAUGUCGUGAAAAUACGAAUUCUACUGGUAACUCAGUAACUGUUAUUUCGCCAAUAUGGUCGAUCAGAUUACACACAUGGAUGUUAGUGUUUUGAACUUUGAAGGCCAGCAGGGAAACAACGCUACCAAAGCACAGCAUGCGAUCGGAGAGGGGCUCUAUUUAUCAUCAGAUUGCUAAUCAGCCUAAUCCAAGUCAGAUAAUAUUUGCUCACCCAGAAGCCUUAUUGGAAGAUAAAAUCAUAUCAAGAUUCUGUUAAAGCUAUUGUGAUUGACGAAGCACAUCUAGUGGAAGAAUGGUAAGAAUUUUAUUUUAAUAUAUGGUACUGAGUUUUAAAUUAUAAUAUGGUUUAAGUGCAAAACAUGUAAAAAAAAAACCCAUUCAGACUGAGCCUGAACUAUUAUUAUUAUAUAGCAAGUUUCAAAGUUCACUUUUCCUAUAGUUUUAUUGGUCAAGAGUACAGUAUGUCAAGUGAGAGUCAAGAAAUUAAGCUGUCUCCCUCGGAGUUCCCUGUGAGCAGAGGUGUCUAGAGCACCGGAGCCAGCAGGGAACCCUCGGAGAGACUCCACAGAUGCUCGGCAGGGAGAUAACCUAUUAUCCAGGGCAAUCUUGUUCCCCAAGCCUGCAAUCCUUGGGAAGGAAUGUGAGGCUCUGGGAUAAUCCGUUUCAGGGAGGAAUCUGAUUGGCUGUUGAUAUGGAAUGUGCAGUUCGGUCUUAGCCAGGAUUCCUGCCUUCCGACAAUGGAUUUUCCCAGAGGCUCACAUUCCUUCGUGAGGAUUACAGGCUUGGGGAACAAGAUUGUGUCCAGGGGUGAAUAACAAAAAAUCACACAUGUACAUGUUGUUAUGUUGUUUACAUUGUUUUCUGCUUGAGAACUGUGAGUCGGUAUGACAAUAAAAUUGGUUUCUUACAAAAUCAAGUAAACAAGUUUUCUUUUCUUUGAAACUUGCUAUAAAAUAAAAUACUUAUUGACUGGUCUCCUCAUGAGAUAUCCUGUUAUGUGGACCCUCAACCACCAUUGGAAAACAUUGAUGGUUGAGGGUCCACAAAACAGGAUGUCUCCCGAGGAGACCAGUCGACUAAUAAGUAAUAAUUAUAUCAAUAUAUUUAUUAACCAAUUAAAUUGCAUUGCACCUUACUUUGUUAUUUUACUUGACUGUCUAAUGAUCUCUAAUGCCAUAUGAUUUUACUCAUAUGGCAUUAUAGUCAUGGGGUCGGAGGGGAUAGUACUGGAGAGUGGAGAAUACAUCAUAAUUAUUUGAGUAAAAUAUUUGGUGUUAACCCUUAAGUGGUCUAAUAAUGUAAGACAAUUUUACUCAUCAAGUGGUGAGUGCUGGCUUACUCAAUGGGUAAAAGAGUAGGAAGCAUGAUGUUGGUGCAUUGCAGCUGGACUUGUUAAUCAUUAACAUAUCUUUUUCUUGUUUAGAAAACAUUUUAGACCUUGUUAUGGGAAAAUUGGUAUGCUGACAAGUAUUUUUCCCAAGAUCCCAUUUUUGGCAAUGACAGCAACUGCCACGGUGCAGAUGAAAAAGGAUAUUACAACCAGUCUCGGAUUGAUCAUUAUAAAAUAACAUGUAUAUAACGCGUGUUCUGAUUGGUCG